rnacentral:rRNA from 1 species
CGAAAUGUCAAUUUGGAGGUUGUGCCCUUGAGGCGUGGCUUCCGGAGCUAACGCGUUAAAUCGACCGCCUGGGGAGUACGGCCGCAAGGUUAAAACUCAAAUGAAUUGACGGGGGCCCGCACAAGCGGUGGAGCAUGUGGUUUAAUUCGAUGCAACGCGAAGAACCUUACCUGGUCUUGACAUCCACAGAACUUUCCAGAGAUGGAUUGGUGCCUUCGGGAACUGUGAGACAGGUGCUGCAUGGCUGUCGUCAGCUCGUGUUGUGAAAUGUUGGGUUAAGUCCCGCAACGAGCGCAACCCUUAUCCUUUGUUGCCAGCGGUCCGGCCGGGAACUCAAAGGAGACUGCCAGUGAUAAACUGGAGGAAGGUGGGGAUGACGUCAAGUCAUCAUGGCCCUUACGACCAGGGCUACACACGUGCUACAAUGGCAUAUACAAAGAGAAGCGACCUCGCGAGAGCAAGCGGACCUCAUAAAGUAUGUCGUAGUCCGGAUUGGAGUCUGCAACUCGACUCCAUGAAGUCGGAAUCGCUAGUAAUCGUAGAUCAGAAUGCUACGGUGAAUACGUUCCCGGGCCUUGUACACACCGCCCGUCACACCAUGGGAGUGGGUUGCAAAAGAAGUAGGUAGCUUAACCUUCGGGAGGGCGCUUACCACUUUGUGAUUCAUGACUGGGGUGAAGUCGUAACAGAGGUAACCGACCUGACCCCGAGGGUAGUU